UAUCAUCUACCACUACUACCACAACCACCUUCUUUUAAAGUUGAAAUAAAUCACUAUGGAUUAAAAAAUGGCGUAGAAGAUGCUGGUUAUAUAGAUGAGACCGAUAUACAGUAAUUUAGUCAUCUGAGAAGAAUGUUCACAACAUCAUAAGCAUGUGAGAAAAUGCUUAGAGAGCACAAAGAACUGCACAACGCCGAGAGAGAGGUUCAUAUCGAAUCUGGGAAUUGGUGGUAUAUGAACUGCAGAUAAAUGAGUUGACAUAAGAUUUUGGGCACCAACUUACCUAUGAUCUUGUACAUCGACAUCAAAUUAUGCAGGUUUUUUUUAUUCCAAAGUUAAUGCAGCACGAUGCAUCUUUUGAAAGAAAUUUGACGAUUUAAGAACAAAGACUUGCUAGGCUCCACGCAAAGGGUACCUGGAAGUGGAGUACCAAUAGGACGGCCCAUUCUUUUCAGGAUUUAUCUGCGGCAUCCAUUGUCUGGUAUGACGUCAGCCACUUUCUGAGACCACCCAGCUUUUCAAAAAUUAGUCAAAUGGUUCUGGCAUCAAGCACUCGCCAGCAACAAUCCUCUGUUACGCCCUAUAAUCAGAAGUCUACUAACUAUUACACUGAAAUAC
rnacentral:lncRNA from 1 species